GUGCCAGCAGCCGCGGUAAUACGUAGGGUGCGAGCGUUGUCCGGAAUUAUUGGGCGUAAAGAGCUCGUAGGCGGCGUGUCACGUCGGAUGUGAAAGCCCGGGGCUUAACCCUGGGUCUGCAUUCGAUACGGGCAGGCUAGAGUUCGGUAGGGGAGAUCGGAAUUCCUGGUGUAGCGGUGAAAUGCGCAGAUAUCAGGAGGAACACCGGUGGCGAAGGCGGAUCUCUGGGCCGAUACUGACGCUGAGGAGCGAAAGCGUGGGGAGCGAACAGGAUUAGAUACCCUGGUAGUCC
rnacentral:rRNA from 1 species